UGCCUUGUAGCCCAACGGUAGGGCGCUCGCUUCUGGAGCGAGAAGUCUUGGUUCGAGUCCAAGCGAGGCAACCA
rnacentral:tRNA from 1 species